rnacentral:rRNA from 1 species
GACGAACGCUGGCGGCGUGCUUAACACAUGCAAGUCGAACGGAAAGGCCCUGCUUUUGUGGGGUGCUCGAGUGGCGAACGGGUGAGUAACACGUGAGUAACCUGCCCUUGACUUUGGGAUAACUUCAGGAAACUGGGGCUAAUACCGGAUAGGAGCUCCUGCUGCAUGGUGGGGGUUGGAAAGUUUCGGCGGUUGGGGAUGGACUCGCGGCUAUCAGCUUGUUGGUGGGGUAGUGGCUUACCAAGGCUUUGACGGGUAGCCGGCCUGAGAGGGUGACCGGCCACAUUGGGACUGAGAUACGGCCCAGACUCCUACGGGAGGCAGCAGUGGGGAAUAUUGCACAAUGGGCGGAAGCCUGAUGCAGCAACGCCGCGCGCGGGAUGACGGCCUUCGGGUUGUAAACCGCUUUCGCCUGUGACGAAGCGUGAGUGACGGUAAUGGGUAAAGAAGCACCGGCUAACUACGUG